AUCCAGUUGAUGAGUCCCAAAUAGGACGAAACACGUUUCCUUGAU
rnacentral:hammerhead_ribozyme from 1 species